AUUACAUAUAAAUGGUUACUAGUGCACGCUCUGAUGAAAAAUCUUUUUUUCCAAAGAAGUAUUCUUCUGAUAACAGGGGAUAAAUGAAAACUUUCAGCGUUUGCUUUUGCUAACGUGAUGGGGCUUUUAAAUUGCCAUUUAAGUGACAUGUACUGCUAGAGAUUUUUUUUCGGGGACUGUAAGAACAUCACUCUCAGUGGCAAUGGCACUGCCAGCACUGAUGACAUGAGGCAAGGUAGACCUGUGACAGCUGUAGGGUGAGGGAUUUUUUGAAGUAGGAUAUGCUUUUUUUUGAGUUGGCCAGUGUUGUUUGGGAAAGGAGUCAAUUUUUACUAAGUAUGCUAUAGGUACAGAAUGCACACAUUAGUAUCAUGUUCCUCAUUGAACCUGCAAAUAUAGUAAUACAUUGCACUUUUCUUUUCUUUCCUAGGUAGGUCAGCAAGGACUAGUGCCAAAUGCAGGAAGAGGAGGAGUCAUUUUGUCCAAAAUUGUGCCAAGAUUUUCAUAAAGUAAAUUAAAUCCUGGAGAUGUUCCAGAAGACAAUCAAAGUUUGGCUAUGUGACCAUCAGCAACAAUAGUGGUGAAUAUAGAAUGGCAUCAUUUCAUCUCAUGCUCUGAAAGUGACAAGUGACACUGUGGCACUGACUUUAUUGUAUUAGCCUGUGCUGGCUGUGCUGAAUUUAUAAACCAUGCAGCGACUUUCUUUGGCUUUACCUCGCACAACAGAAAGUGAAGUAAGAAAGCACAGGGAAGCUAAUACUUUUCAAGAGAAUCAUCUUUUUGGGUUGAUUUGGAAGGUUGAAGGAGGAGCCAAGAUAACAAAAAUCUAUUUCAAGUAAAUAAGUAUCUUUACUUUGCAACUGUUACCAAUGGGUUCUGUGGGUGAUUUCAGAAAAUGAACAGAAGAUACAUCAGAUCUCUCCUGUACUUUGCAGGCAAAUACAAAAAUGAACCAGCCAGAAUCUGUGUUAAUAAGAACAAUAUGAAACAGAAUUUGAGUUAAUGUUACCUCUCGCCUUUCAGUAGAUUUAUUGACUUGAACGUUGUAUUAUGUGGUCUUAAUCAAUGUGGAUUCUAGUUGAUUUGUAGUGGAAACUGCUUCAAAAGCAGAAAAACUACAAAAUGCUUUACAGACAUAUUCAUAGGCUUGCCAAUAGCAGAGCCACAGGCAAAUAAUGUUCUUAUUGAAUGAAAAUAGGAGGAGAAAAGGCAGUAGAUAGAGUUCCAAACUUCUGAGAAACAAUUAGACCAGUACUGUGAGAAGAUAACAAUUCCAACUUAUGUGUUAUUAAGGUAUUAUAUUGAUGUACUCUAUAUCAUAUUAUACAUGCUAUUAAAUGGCUAGAUGAGUUCAUCAAUGACAAUUCUGGAACAGAGCAGUCCAUUGUUUCUAAAUUAACUUGAUAGUCAAGUUAGAAUUUGUAGAGUGUAGAGGGGAGUCUUUUAAAACUAUAUUUAUUCAGUAAUCAUUAAAUUAAUUUUAUCUAGGUGUUUUAAACAGUGUUUCAGUACUAUCACUAUCACCAGGCAAAGAACUGAUUAUGCCAGGUGCAUCAACUCACUACAAUAAUCAGAUCAAAACUUGUCUGCAAAGCAAGGUCAUAUCUAAAGCUUUUUGAAACAGGAGUUCAUGUGUGCAUCUAGUUGAUUCUACCUUUAUAACCUUUUACUGAUUCCACUGUUUAUGAGAAACAAAGUGUCGCAUGGAUGUUGACUUCCCAACUGACUUUUAAAGUAAGAAAACAGCAGUGAUUCAUGAACUUGGCAGGGAUUCUUUCAAAUAUGAGAUUAUUAGAAAAUAUGUACUACUUUAGAUACUGAAUUUCAUACUAAUAUUUCAGAAAA
ensembl:lncRNA